AACGUAGGAGACAAACGUUAUCCGGAGUUACUGGGCGUAAAGGGCGUGUAGGUGGUUUCGUAAGUCUGGCGUGAAAUUUCUCGGCUUAACCGAGGCAGGUCGUCGGAUACUGCGGAACUUGAGGACGGUAGAGGCGUGUGGAAUUCCGGGUGUAGUGGUGAAAUGCGUAGAGAUCCGGAGGAACACCAGUGGCGAAGGCGACACGCUGGGCCGUACCUGACACUGAGGCGCGAAAGCGUGGGGAGCAAACAGG
rnacentral:rRNA from 1 species